rnacentral:rRNA from 1 species
CCUACGGGUGGCUGCAGUGAGGAAUAUUGGUCAAUGGGAGGAAUCCUGAACCAGCCAUGCCUCGUGCAGGACGACGGCUCUACGAGUUGUAAACUGCUUUUGUACCGGGGUAAAAUGCUCUACGAGUAGAGUUUUGAAAGUACGGUACGAAUAAGGAUCGGCUAACUCCGUGCCAGCAGCCGCGGUAAUACGGAGGAUCCGCGCGUUAUCCGGAUUAAUUAGGUUUAAAGGGUGCGUAGGUUGUUUUAUAAGUUAGCGGUGAAAUACCGAUGCUCAACAUCGGGGCUGCUGCUGAUACUUUAUGACUAGCGAUAGGAUGCAGCAGGCGGAAUGUGUAGUGUAGCGGUGAAAUGCAUAGAUAUUACACAGAACACCGAUUGCGAAGGCAGCUUGCUAGGCCGGAUCUGACACUGAUGCACGAAAGCGUGGGGAUCGAACAGGAUUAGAUACCCUUGUAGUC